rnacentral:rRNA from 1 species
GAUGAACGCUGGCGGCGUGCCUAAUACAUGCAAGUCGAGCGAACAGACGAGGAGCUUGCUCCUCUGACGUUAGCGGCGGACGUGUGAGUAACACGUGUAUAACCUACCUAUAAGACUGGGAUAACUUCGGGAAACCGGAUCUAAUACCGUAUAAUAUAUUGAACCGCAUUGUUCAAUAGUGAAAGACGGUUUUGCUGUCACUUAUUGAUGCAUCCUCGCCGCAUUAGCUAGUUGGUAAGGUAACGGCUUACCAAGGCAACGAUUCGUAGCCGACCUGAGAGGGUGACCGGCCACACUGGAACUGGGACACGGUCAAGACUCCUACGGGAGGAAGCAGUAGGGAAUCUUCCGAAAUGGGCGAAAGCCUGCCGGAGAAACGCCGCGUGAGUGAUGAAGGUCUUCGGAUCGUAAGACUCUGUUAUUAGGGAAGAACAAAUGUGUAAGUAAAUAUGCACGUCUUGACGGUACCUAAUCAGAAAGCGACGGCUAACUACGUG